rnacentral:lncRNA from 1 species
CUCACUUCCCGUCCUACCCUGUGUCCUGCCUCGAGCGGCCGUGGGUCCCCUGCGCUGGGGAGCACCGACGGUGGACCCCAGGGCCGGGGAAGGGGGACAGUAGGGCCUGUGUUGCCAGAACCUAACCCAGCGUGAUCCAGCCCCUUUCUUGCUCCGCAGCAGCCCCCGCAGAGCCCAGCGCUUUGAAAGGAGCAGGAGGGAGCCGGGAGGAGUCUGAGGCUGGGACACUGUCACUUGCUCCUGUCCCAGCACUGGGUCCCCGGGGCCUGUAAGAAGCAUGCACAGGUCGCAGGACAGACAUCCUGGAAGCAGACCAGGGGGGCUGCGCCCCAUUCCCAGAAAGUCCCAGGCCUGGGCAAACACCUGGUCUCGCUGCUGCGAGGGUCAGUGUCUGUCGCCUUCACCGCUUCCACCCCUCUCGCCCACGACGGAGCAGGUGCUCCCGGGGGCGCCAAGUCAAUCUGGACUGGUAAUACCUGACGCAUGCCCUUCUCUUGCUCUCUACAUUGGCUUGAAUGCACGCACAUCCGCAUGCAGGACUGGAACGAAACGACCGCCCACAUUUUACCGUGUAGGGUAAGGACGGUUCAAGACAGGACCACCUUUCCUUUUACCCUUAAGAACCUUAAGGACCU